AUGCAUCAGACCAGCAUGGGCAUCAAGAUGGAAUCACAGUCUCAGGUCUUCAUAUUUGUACUGCUCUGGUUGUCUGGUGCUGAUGGGGAUAUUGUGAUGACCCAGUCUCCCAAAUCCAUGUCUACAACAGUAGGAGAGAGGGUCACUAUGACCUGCAAAGCCAGUCAGAAUGUGGGUACUGAAGUGUCCUGGUAUCAACAGAAACCAGGGCAGUCUCCUAAACUGCUGAUCUACUGGGUAUCCAACCGGCACACUGGGGUCCCUGAUCGCUUCACAGGCAGUGGAUCUGGGACAGAUUUCACUCUCACCAUCAGCAAUGUGCAAGCUGAAGACCUGGCAGAUUAUUACUGUCAGCAGGAUUAUAGCUAUCCUCCCACAGUGGUACAGGCUCUUACACAAACCUCCUUGAGAGUCUUAAGAGCUGCCUGCACCAUGUAG